rnacentral:rRNA from 1 species
GACGAACGCUGGCGGCGUGCCUAAUACAUGCAAGUCGAACGCACAGUUUAUACCGUAGCUUGCUACACCAUAGACUGUGAGUUGCGAACGGGUGAGUAACGCGUAGGUAACCUGCCUGGUAGCGGGGGAUAACUAUUGGAAACGAUAGCUAAUACCGCAUAAUAUUAAUUAUUGCAUGAUAAUUAAUUGAAAGGUGCAAUUGCACCACUACCAGAUGGACCUGCGUUGUAUUAGCUAGUAGGUGAGGUAACGGCUCACCUAGGCGACGAUACAUAGCCGACCUGAGAGGGUGAUCGGCCACACUGGGACUGAGACACGGCCCAGACUCCUACGGGAGGCAGCAGUAGGGAAUCUUCGGCAAUGGACGAAAGUCUGACCGAGCAACGCCGCGUGAGUGAAGAAGGUUUUCGGAUCGUAAAGCUCUGUUGUAAGAGAAGAACGGGCGUGAGAGUGGAAAGUUCACACUGUGACGGUAUCUUACCAGAAAGGGACGGCUAACUACGUG